rnacentral:tRNA from 1 species
UGUCUUAUAGUUAAUAUAUAAUAUCAAACUGCAAUUUUGAAGUAAAAAAAAAAUCAAAUUUAAGGCUU